AACGAACGCUGGCGGCAUGCCUAACACAUGCAAGUCGAACGAGACCUUCGGGUCUAGUGGCGCACGGGUGCGUAACGCGUGGGAAUCUGCCCCUUGGUUCGGAAUAACAGCGAGAAAUUGCUGCUAAUACCGGAUAAUGACGUAAGUCCAAAGAUUUAUCGCCAAGGGAUGAGCCCGCGUAGGAUUAGCUAGUUGGUGUGGUAAAGGCGCACCAAGGCGACGAUCCUUAGCUGGUCUGAGAGGAUGAUCAGCCACACUGGGACUGAGACACGGCCCAGACUCCUACGGGAGGCAGCAGUGGGGAAUAUUGGACAAAUGGGCGAAAGCCUGAUCCAGCAAUGCCGCGUGAGUGAUGAAGGCCUUAGGGUUGUAAAGCUCUUUUACCCGGGAAGAUAAUGACUGUACCGGGAGAAUAAGCCCCGGCUAACUCCGUGCCAGCAGCCGCGGUAAAGUAGACGUCU
rnacentral:rRNA from 1 species